AUUGAACGCUGGCGGCAUGCCUUACACAUGCAAGUCGAACGGUAACAGGUUAAGCUGACGAGUGGCGAACGGGUGAGUAAUGUAUCGGAACGUGCCCAGUCGUGGGGGAUAACUGCUCGAAAGAGCAGCUAAUACCGCAUACGACCUGAGGGUGAAAGCGGGGGAUCGCAAGACCUCGCGCGAUUGGAGCGGCCGAUAUCAGAUUAGGUAGUUGGUGAGGUAAAGGCUCACCAAGCCGACGAUCUGUAGCUGGUCUGAGAGGACGACCAGCCGCACUGGGACUGAGACACGGCCCAGACUCCUACGGGAGGCAGCAGUGGGGAAUUUUGGACAAUGGGCGCAAGCCUGAUCCAGCCAUGCCGCGUGCGGGAAGAAGGCCUUCGGGUUGUAAACCGCUUUUGUCAGGGAAGAAAAGGUUCUGGCUAAUACCUGGGACUCAUGACGGUACCUGAAGAAUAAGCACCGGCUAACUACGUG
rnacentral:rRNA from 1 species